GGUGAGGGGCGGCUGCUCUCCGGCCCGGGGCUGGAACUGCCGGCCCUGCGGUGCUAAGGGUACCACCGUUUCACCAUCGGUCGAGUCCAACCGCCUCAGCCCUCAUCCACUCAGCCUGCGCCUGACCCGGCGUUUGGGACUUCCAGAGAGAGCGGCCUGAGAAGAGCCAAGGGGACCAUCCAGGUUUUAGCAGUUGCCAAAAAGGACUUCAAAGGAGCCCAACUUCAGAUGCAGCAAAUAAGAGCAAGUGGCACAGUUCAACUGCUACCUAAACAGGAUUUGAACUGGGAGUGUAGGAACUGGCAGUUCUCGGAACGGUGUGAUUUCUUACAGCCAGGAAGGCGCACAGAGCGCUCCACUGCUGUCUGGCACAGAGCCUGUGAAUGGAUUCAGUUGCAGAUACAGGUACAGCUUUCAAGUCUGCCUACUCUUUAUGAUUAGGACUGCUUUUUGUUACCAUUGCUACCACCGUUACUCCUUCUAAACAGAUGAUACUGUAUUAAGCAACAGGCUUCCUAUGUGGAGACAUGGAAGCAUGGGAUAUUAAUGACCUCACCGUUACCUUUUCUGAUGCUGACAUGAGAUACUUCAUUUCUCCAUUUUGUAUUCUACAUCUUCACUUUUUUUAAACAUAAGAACUACUUUCCCACCUCAUGGUGAUUUAGCUCGUACUUAGAACCUCUUCUGUAGUCCUUUGUCAAAGACCUUGGAAAAUCCAAGUAAAUUAACUGCUACUCAUCUGCUGUUUUACUAAUACAUCAGAUAGUUUUAAUAAGGAGCUACAGUCCUCUGUUGCAGGAGGCUUGCUGAAAUGUCCUUAGCAUAUUAAGUUUCUCUUUUUGUUUCAUACUGCUAAUUGUAAUAAUAGCUUAAAACAAGCUGUUACUGAAGAAAGGCUCACUAAUAUUUCCCAAGAUUGUUCACUAGGUCUAUUUUUUUUUUAAAGAAUAUAUAUUUGUUGCUUUCUGGUGCUUUGAGUAUUAGUGAGAAAAUAUGUUUUUGGUUUGAAACUUGAUAUUAGUGAGACAUUAUCUUUUGUUACAAACUUAAAAUGCUGCUUUGUUGUUAAGCAUCGUCAGAAUUCAGAACAUCAAGAGAAACCCAACCACUCUUAUGUUCUGUUACUUCAUUCAGCAGUUUUUUGUUGCGGCAUUUUCUGUUGCAAUAUCUAAAGCUUCGUUGAUCUCUCAUGUUUCUUGUACUUAGAAACAGCGAAACCAGGAGAGUAUUGUGAAAAUACUAAAUGGAAGUAAAUGUAUGUUCCAACUUUGCAAAAGAAAAACAGACCUUUGCAAUUAAUAUCAUUCAGGUGAAAUUAUGAACUUCUGAAGUUGGAAGGAGCUUUGUUAGUGACUUCACUAAAACCAGAUUUUAAUCCUCUUAUGCUACCAUUUCUGUAUGAUUAAAAAAAUCAAACAAUCUUUUGAAAAAAAUGAACCAUUCCAGAAUAUGUUUCUGGCUUGAGCUAUUAUGGGAGCUACUAGCUUUGUGAAGCAAGAGGGAAAGAUAAACUUGAGCAGGCUUUUCCCCUGUGGUGCUAGUCAGUACACAGAAUAUAGGACCAUGUUGUAUUGUAACAUGAGAAUCCCUUUCAGGCCUUGCAUAAUAAAAACAGCAAAUCAAGACACCAACCCAUCAAGCCUCCAGCUUUGGCCUUCAGCCUGUGACUUAAACCGUACAACAUAUUGAACUUAGAAGACGCUAUGAGAAGGCAUGCUGAAUCUGAAGCUGACUGUUGUUGUUUCAAAAGCAGUCACUCUCAGAACAACCAAGUAACCUAUAGAAAACCUGAGGAAACUGGUGUUAUUACAGCUCAUAGGUCUGAUUCCUUAACAAUGUUCUGUGUUUCUCAUGGAUAGCCAUAAUUUAAAAAUUUGGUAUUUUCUCAUAUUCCUUUUGUUUGCACUUCAUGUAAAGAGAAAAUAACUUUUGAGCCCUUUUUUUUGGUCGUUUUUGUCAUCAUUUCUGAAAUUCAAUUUUGUGGCCUCUAACAGGUAUUGCUGUCCCCACUUAAAUAUCUGAGAAAUUAUUUAUGUCUUGGCUUAAUCACACUGAACUAAAUUAAUUUCUGUUAAAAUAAAUGUAACUAAAAGGAA